rnacentral:rRNA from 1 species
UACGAAGGGGGCUAGCGUUGCUCGGAAUCACUGGGCGUAAAGCGCACGUAGGCGGCUCUCUAAGUCAGGGGUGAAAUCCUGGAGCUCAACUCCAGAACUGCCUUUGAUACUGGAGAGCUUGAGUCCGGGAGAGGUGAGUGGAACUCCGAGUGUAGAGGUGAAAUUCGUAGAUAUUCGCAAGAACACCAGUGGCGAAGGCGGCAUCCUGGACCGGUAUUGACGCUGAGGCGCGAAAGCCAGGGGAGCAAACGGG